UGCAAGUCGAACGGUAACAGGUCUUCGGAUGCUGACGAGUGGCGAACGGGUGAGUAAUACAUCGGAACGUGCCUAGUAGUGGGGGAUAACUACUCGAAAGAGUAGCUAAUACCGCAUGAGAUCUACGGAUGAAAGCAGGGGACCUUCGGGCCUUGUGCUACUAGAGCGGCUGAUGGCAGAUUAGGUAGUUGGUGGGGUAAAGGCUUACCAAGCCUGCGAUCUGUAGCUGGUCUGAGAGGACGACCAGCCACACUGGGACUGAGACACGGCCCAGACUCCUACGGGAGGCAGCAGUGGGGAAUUUUGGACAAUGGGCGAAAGCCUGAUCCAGCAAUGCCGCGUGCAGGAUGAAGGCCCUCGGGUUGUAAACUGCUUUUGUACGGAACGAAAAGCCUGGGGCUAAUAUCCCCGGGUCAUGACGGUACCGUAAGAAUAAGCACCGGCUAACUACGUGCCAGCAGCCGCGGUAAUACGUAGGGUGCAAGCGUUAAUCGGAAUUACUGGGCGUAAAGCGUGCGCAGGCGGUUUUGUAAGACAGUGGUGAAAUCCCCGGGCUCAACCUGGGAACUGCCAUUGUGACUGCAAGGCUAGAGUGCGGCAGAGGGGGAUGGAAUUCCGCGUGUAGCAGUGAAAUGCGUAGAUAUGCGGAGGAACACCGAUGGCGAAGGC
rnacentral:rRNA from 1 species